rnacentral:rRNA from 1 species
UUUGCUUAACAAGGAAAUUGCCAUUGAAACUGUUAGACUUGAGAAUGGACGAGGUAGGCGGAAUUCGUAGUGUAGCGGUGAAAUGCAUAGAUAUUACGAAGAACUCCAAUAGUGUAGACUGCUUACCAGACCAUAUCUGACACUAAGGCACGAAAGUGUGGGUAUCAAACAGGAUUAGAUACCCUGGUAGUCCACACAGUAAACGAUGAAUACUAACUGUUUGCGAUAUACAGCAAGUGGUCGAGCGAAAGCGUUAAGUAUUCCACCUGGGAAGUAUGCCGGCAACGGUGAAACUCAAAGGAAUUGACGGGGGCCCGCACAAGCGGAGGAACAUGUGGUUUAAUUCGAUAAUACGCGAGGAACCUUACCCGGGCUCGAACGAUAUUUGAAUACAUCCGAAAAGAUGUAGCUAGCAAUAGCAAAUACCGAGGUGCUGCAUGGUUGUCGUCAGCUCGUGCCGUGAGGUGUCGACUUAAGUGUCAUAACGAGCGCAACCCUUACCGAUAGUUACCAUCAGAUAAUGCUGGGGACUCUAUUGGGACUGCCACCGUAAGGUGUGAGGAAGGAGAGGAUGACGUCAAAUCAGCACGGCCCUUAUGUCCGGGGCGACACACGUGUUACAAUGGGAGAAACAAAGGGUCGCUAUCUGGCAACAGGAUGCUAAUCUCGAAAAUCUCUCUCAGUUCGGAUUGGAGUCUGCAACUCGACUCCAUGAAGCUGGAUUCGCUAGUAAUCGCACAUCAGCCAUGGUGCGGUGAAUACGUUCCCGGGCCUUGUACACACCGCCCGUCAAGCCAUGGAAGCUGGAAGUACCUGAAGUAUGUAACUGAAAAGAGCGUCCU